GUCAAAUUAUUGGGAAGAAGGACCUCGUCUACGAAUGCAAUUGAAGCUUUUCCCAGUAGUUGGGGUCAGUACAUUUAAUAAAAGUGAGGUCAUUCGUAUCAGCGACAUUUUGCAAUAUUGGGAAAUCUCUGUAGUUGACCUUUUUGGACCUUAUGAGCUCCUUAGUUUCACUCUGGAGGGACCUUAUUCCUACUUAAAUCCUGAUAUUCAAGCUAAACAUAAAAACA
rnacentral:misc_RNA from 1 species